UGGGGAAUAUUGGACAAUGGGCGAAAGCCUGAUCCAGCCAUGCCGCGUGUGUGAAGAAGGUCUUCGGAUUGUAAAGCACUUUAAGUUGGGAGGAAGGGCAUUAACCUAAUACGUUAGUGUUUUGACGUUACCGACAGAAUAAGCACCGGCUAACUCUGUGCCAGCAGCCGCGGUAAUACAGAGGGUGCAAGCGUUAAUCGGAAUUACUGGGCGUAAAGCGCGCGUAGGUGGUUUGUUAAGUUGAAUGUGAAAUCCCCGGUCUCAACCUGGGAACUGCAUCCAAAACUGGCAAGCUAGAGUAUGGUAGAGGGUAGUGGAAUUUCCUGUGUAGCGGUGAAAUGCGUAGAUAUAGGAAGGAACACCAGUGGCGAAGGCGACUACCUGGACUGAUACUGACACUGAGUUGCGAAAUCGUGGGGAUCAAACA
rnacentral:rRNA from 1 species